AGAGUUUGAUCCUGGCUCAGGACGAACGCUGGCGGCGUGCCUAACACAUGCAAGUCGAGCGGGGAACGGAUGGUAGCUUGCUACUGUUUGUUUCUAGCGGCGGACGGGUGAGUAACGCGUGAGCAACCUGCCUUUAUCAGGGGGAUAACGCAUCGAAAGAUGUGCUAAUACCGCGUAAGACCACAGCUUCACAUGGAGCAGGGGUCAAAGGAGCAAUCCGGAUAAAGAUGGGCUCGCGUCCGAUUAGCUAGUUGGUGAGAUAACAGCCCACCAAGGCGACGAUCGGUAGCCGACCUGAGAGGGUGAUCGGCCACAUUGGAACUGAGAAACGGUCCAGACUCCUACGGGAGGCAGCAGUGGGGAAUAUUGGGCAAUGGGCGAAAGCCUGACCCAGCAACGCCGCGUGAGGGAAGAAGGGUUUCGGCUCGUAAACCUCUGUCCUAUGGGACGAAGGAAGUGACGGUACCAUAGGAGGAAGCCCCGGCUAACUACGUGCCAGCAGCCGCGGUAAUACGUAGGGGGCGAGCGUUGUCCGGAAUGAUUGGGCGUAAAGGGCGCGUAGGCGGCCUGCUAAGUCUGGAGUGAAAGUCCUGCUUUCAAGGUGGGAAUUGCUUUGGAUACUGGUGGGCUGGAGUGCAGGAGAGGAAAGCGGAAUUACCGGUGUAGCGGUGAAAUGCGUAGAGAUCGGUAGGAACACCAGUGGCGAAGGCGGCUUUCUGGACUGAAACUGACGCUGAGGCGCGAAAGCGUGGGGAGCAAACAGGAUUAGAUACCCUGGUAGUCCACGCGGUAAACGAUGAAUGCUAGGUGUAGGAGGUAUCGACCCCUUCUGUGCCGCAGUAAACACAAUAAGCAUUCCGCCUGGGGAGUACGGCCGCAAGGUUGAAACUCAAAGGA
rnacentral:rRNA from 1 species